GGCCGGAGAGCGAGAGAGAGAGAGACCGAGGGCCGGCGGGAGGAGGCGAGGACGAGAGCGGCGGGCACGCGGCGCGCAGGCUCCCCCGACGAGUUGGCACAGGCGGGUCCCCGGCCGCCGCCGCCCCCUCGACGUGACUCCGCACCCGGCCCCACAGGACGCGCGCGCUGAUUGACAGUCGCCGUGUCCCCAAAAGGCACGGCGGCGGCGAUGCUGGUCUGCGGGUGGGUCUAGAUCUGCGGGUGCCCGCUCCCCUCCGCGCCCCGUCAGGGCUUCGCCGCCGCCUCCCGGCUGCCCAGGCGCCGGGCACGGACCCCCCGCCCCCCGCCGGCGCGCCAGCCCCGCGGCCCGGCUCACCAUGCACUGCCACGCGGAGCUGCGGCUCACCUCGCCCGGCCAGCUCAAAGCAGCCAGGCGGCGCUACAAGACUUUUAUGAUCGACGAGAUCCUGUCCAAGGAGACGUGCGACUACUUUGAGAAACUGUCCCUCUACUCCGUGUGCCCCUCGCUGGUCGUGCGACCCAAGCCCCUGCAUUCCUGCACCGGCCCCGCCUCCCUCCGGGCAUACCCUCUCCUCUCCGUGAUCACCCGACAGCCCGCCGUCAUCUCUCACCUGGUCCCCGCCACCCCGGGAAUCGCCCAGACGCUGUCCUGCCACCCCGCUGCCCCCGAGGCGGCCCCCGCCGAGGCCCCGGGCGGGGAGGCGCUGGGCAGCAGCGAGUCCGAGACGGAGCAGCUCACCCCGCGGCAGAAGAAACCCCGCCGGAGCCGCACCAUCUUCACGGAGCUGCAGCUCAUGGGCCUGGAGAAGAAAUUUCAGAAGCAGAAGUACUUGUCCACCCCAGACAGGUUGGACUUGGCCCAGGCUCUGGGACUCACCCAACUGCAGGUGAAGACCUGGUAUCAGAAUCGCAGGAUGAAAUGGAAGAAAAUGGUGGCUUCCUUAGGCUUGCCCUUUUCUAACAGGAUUGCUCCACGGGGCACCUUCCCUCUGUGUAACCUCUUUCAUACCGAGUGGAGCUGCUUUCAACAUGUCAAUUCCACCUUGGCACACGCAGGCGCUUUCAGCAGGCUGCGCUGAGAUCAGCAUCAGAUACUGACACUGACUCUGGCGUGAAAAAAACACCAGGGAUGUCUUCUCCCCCAAAGUGGAUUCUGUCGACAUCCACGCCUUGUUAGAGGUGCCCUUCAAACCUGUGUGUUUGGGUGGAAAGCACGGUGGUUGGGCGGGUUCCCAGCUCAGAGGUGGUGUUUGUUGAGAACUUAUGGUUUUCCUCAUACCGCACACAGAAAUGAACUUGAGAUGAAUCAUAGACCUAAAUGGGUAGGCUAAGACAAUAAAACUCUUAGAAGAAAGUAUGAGUAAAUAUACAUGACCUUGGGUGAGGCAAAAAUCUUCCUAAAUAUAACACCCAAUGCAUAAGUAGCCAAAGAGAAGAAGAAAAAAAAAGAAAUUGGACAUCAGCAAAAUUAAAAGAUUUUGUGCUGUGAAGGACAUCAAGAAAGGGAAAAGACAACUUGCAGAUAUUUACAAAUCUUGUAUCCGGUAAGAGGCCUGUGUCCAGAAUACAUAAAGAACGCUGGCAACUCAGUAAUAAAAAUGCAGUCACAUUUAAAAAUGGGCAAAGGAUUUGAGUAGACAUCUCUCUAAAGAAGGUAGACAACUGGCCCAUGAAAAGAUGCUCAAUGUCAUUCAAGGAGAUGCAGAUCAAAACAGAAUGAUACCACUUCACAUCCACUGGGAUGGUUUUAAUAGAAAGAAGGAAAAAAAAGCACCAUAAUAACAAAUGCUAGUCAGGAUGUAGAGAACUAGAAUCCUCAUAUGCUGCUAACUUGACUAUGACAUGGUGUGGCUGCUUUGGAAAAUAGCAUGGAAGUUCCUCAAAAUGUUAAACAUGAAGUCACCAUGUGAGUACAUACCCAAAAGAUGUGAAAGUAGGGACAUGAACAGGUAUGUGCACAUCCAUGUUCAUAGAGGCAUUAUUCACAAUAGACAGAAGGCGGAAGCAACUCAAGGGUCCAUCAAGUGUCCAUUAACAGAUGAAUGGGUAAACAGAAUGUGGUAUAUCCAUACAAUGGCUAUCAUUUGGCCAUAAAAAGGAAUGAAAUACUGAUACGUGCUAUAACAUGGAUGAAUCUUGAAGACAUUGUGCUAAGUGAAAGAAGCCAGUCACAAAGGAUGAUAUAUGAUAUGAUGCUAUUCAUAUGAAAUGUCCAGAAUGGGCACAUUUGUAGAGGCAGAGAACAGGGUUGGGGGGCAGAGGUUGCAGAGAAAUGGAGAGUGGCUGCCCAUGGGGAUGGGGGUUUCUUUUGGAGGUGAUGAAAUGUUCUAAAGUUGGAUUCUGGUGAUAGUUGCACAUUCUGUGACUAUACUAAAAAUCACUAAACUGUACACCAAAAAUGGAUGAAAUGGAUGGUAUGUGCAUUAUAUCUCAAUAAAGCUGUUUUUUAAAAGAGGAUUUCAGGUUUUUUGGUUGUUGUGGAGGGGUAGGGUGGUUGAUGAGGGCGGGCUGGAAAGAGUCUGGGGAAGGGAGUUCUGAGUUAUUCCCAUUGUUUCUGAAUAAAGUUUGCUUGUUUGAAGACA